rnacentral:rRNA from 1 species
GACGUAGGGGGCCAGCGUUGUUCGGAAUUACUGGGUGUAAAGGGUUCGUAGGCGGUGCGGCAAGUCGGGAGUGAAAUCUCUGGGCUUAACCCAGAGGCUGCUUCCAAAACUGCUGUGCUUGAGUGUGGGAGAGGCGCGUGGAAUUGCAGGUGUAGCGGUGAAAUGCGUAGAUAUCUGCAGGAACACCCGUGGCGAAAGCGGCGCGCUGGACCACUACUGACGCUGAGGCGCGAAGGCGUGGGGAGCAAACAGG